rnacentral:rRNA from 1 species
UACGGGGGGGGGCAAGCGUUGUUCGGAAUUACUGGGCGUAAAGGGCUCGUAGGUGGCCAACUAAGUCAGACGUGAAAUCCCUCGGCUUAACCGGGGAACUGCGUCUGAUACUGGAUGGCUUGAGUUUGGGAGAGGGACGCGGAAUUCCAGGUGUAGCGGUGAAAUGCGUAGAUAUCUGGAGGAACACCGGUGGCGAAGGCGGCAUCCUGGACCGGCAUUGACGCUGAGGCGCGAAAGCCAGGGGAGCAAAGCGGG